GCGACUGUUCUCGGCUCCUCUUUUUGGGCAAAAAUCGAAUCUUUUCAUGGAGAAUGGACGAAAGAGAGGAGUUUGCCAGUUGACAUUGGUUGUUCAGCAGACUAUGUUUUGGAAGAAGAACGAAAUUGCUGCUAGGUGAUAGUCGAAUGGAAUGGCAGAUACUAGACAAGACUCAGAGGGGAAGUCAUAGUAUUUAAUCUAUCAUAUAUCCUAGACAAGACUCCGACGGGAAGUAGUGUUUCUUCUGUCAUCCAAAUUAUUUCCCUUGCCCUGAAAGAGGCUGAGGAGGGAAGCUGGUUCCAUUUGUCAGGGAACUGAACUUGUUUCUUUUUUCUCAACUUAUCAUCAUCGAUCUCUUCCAAGUACUAUGCUCGAUAUGUAUGCAAUCCAAAUGUAUCGAUUCUCAAGGUAGCGUGUGGGGGCAAGCCUUGGCACAAUGGUAAGAUUCUCCUUCUCGACUUGAGUGAUCAGAGUUUGAGUCAUUCUAUGAUGCGCUUCGGCCGCCCUUUAACAAUUUAGGUAGCACAUCUUUUACUUUGUAUGACCUUGUAUCUAUUAUUAGAUAACGACACAAGAGACAUUUGGUGUCUCCUUUUUGAUAUAGUAGAUACUUCUCUCAUUUCCUGAGUCCGGUAAAUUCAAUUCCAUGCUAUAAUAAAACUAUCUCGAUUAUCCUCUCUCCA